rnacentral:snRNA from 1 species
AGACUUACCUGGCAGGGGAGAUACCAUGACCACAAAGGUGUUUUUCCCAGGGCUAGGCUUAUCCAUUGCACUCCGGAUGUGCUGACCCCUGCGAUUUCCCCAAAUGUGGGAAACUCAACUGCAUAAAA